rnacentral:rRNA from 1 species
CAGUAGCCGCGGGAAUACGAAAGGGGCUAGCGUUGUUCGGAAUUACUGGGCGUAAAGCGCACGUAGGCGGAUAUUUAAGUCAGGGGUGAAUCCCGCAGCUCAACUGCGGAACUGCCUUUGAUACUGGGUAUCUUGAGUAUGAAGGAGGUUAGUGGAAUUGCGAGUGUAGAGGUGAAAUUCGUAGAUAUUCGCAGGAACGCCAGUGGCGAAGGCGGCUAACUGGUCCAUAACUGACGCUGAGGUGCGAAAGCGUGGGGAGCAAACAGGAUUAGAUACCCCAGUAGUCCCUGUCUCUUAUACA